rnacentral:SRP_RNA from 1 species
GGUCCCGUGCGAUUUCGGGCUGUGAACCCUGUCAGGUCCGGAAGGAAGCAGCAGUAAGCGGUUUACGGAGUGCGCCGCGGGUUUGC